GGGGCCGGAACUUUGGCUUCUUCGUCGACGAAUUGCUAUUCUUCUACAAAGCUUACAUACUUGUCUUCCUUGCAAUUUCCCAGAGAGCUUCGCCGUCUUCAAAUUGGAAACUGUGGGUUGAAAUCCAAUAAAGGGACUUCACGGCUUGUUCCUCUGGUAUUUCUUUUUAUUCUAUCCCAAAUCCCAAUAUUGGUGUUUUUUAUUUAUUUUUUUAAAAAAAUUUCGUUUGUUUUCAGCUAUGUAUGUUUGAUGUUUUAUGUUAACUUUCUUUUUGAUUAUCUAAUUAAUGUGAAAAGGAAAUGAAUAGUGUUACGAGAAAUUAGGUCCACAAUGAGUUUCAGUUUAUUAUUGUUACCUGUAUUUUCUAGUUUACUAAAGAUGUGACCGGCUAUUUAGUUUCUUUGAUGUGACCUGUUGUUUAAUUUCCUGUACUUCGCUUUGUAGUCUAAAGCUCUUUUCGAGUGCCAAGGGGAGAAAUGUUAGUAAUUGAUAAGCUAGUGCAAAGGGGGGAAAUGUUACACCAUUGGUUAAAGGUGAGUUUUGCUUAGA
rnacentral:lncRNA from 1 species